UCCAGCGUCUGUAGUUUGUACAGCUGGGUGCAGUCAUCCAAAAGGAGGUCAAACGCCUCGCCUCAAGCCUCCCUAACGCCUCCCAUUGCAUCCUGCUGCAGCCACACGUGACUCUGGAUGUGCAUGCAUGCGAGUCUGAGAGUCCAGUGACUGUCCCCAGCUGCUAUAAGCUGCUCCUUACGUAUGUGAGGGGUCACCACAGUGGACCAACUGGUCUGCCUAACAACAUGGCACAGGUUUUUACUCCAGAUGCCCUUCCUGAUGCAACCCUCCCAUUUUAUCUGAGUUUGGGACUGGUACCGCAUCCAGUGGCUGGGUAUCAAACCUGGGCCUUCUGCAUGGUAGACGAGACACCUACCACUGAGCCACCAGCUCUACUGUAUAUAACAGUGUAUGUGACAUAAAAAUCCUGAAUAAAAAAUUAAAUCUUGAUCCUUCAAUCCUUUCAUUCUGUACGUGGCUUUUCCUACUGGGUCACAGGGAACCUGGAGUCUAUCCCAGGAGACUCAGGGUAAAAGACUCUUAGGUUCUGGGGAUGUGGGUUGGCUUAAUGGUUAAGGCAUUGGACUACUGCUCAGAAGGUAGUGUGUUUAAAUUGCAAGGCCCUAAACCAUCAAUUUUACAUUUUUUGUAUAAAAAAAUGUAAGUUGCUCUGAAUAAGGCUAUCUGCCAAAUGCUGUAAAUGUAAAAGGCAGGGUUAAACCUGGACAGUCUAUUGCAUGGCACAAUCGCAUACACACUCGCGCUAUGGACAAUUUAGAGAUACCAAUCAGCCUACAACACAAGUCUUUGGAGUA